UACGAAGGGGGCUAGCGUUGUUCGGAUUUACUGGGCGUAAAGCGCACGUAGGCGGAUCGAUCAGUCAGGGGUGAAAUCCCAGAGCUCAACUCUGGAACUGCCUUUGAUACUGUCGAUCUGGAGUAUGGAAGAGGUGAGUGGAAUUCCGAGUGUAGAGGUGAAAUUCGUAGAUAUUCGGAGGAACACCAGUGGCGAAGGCGGCUCACUGGUCCAUUACUGACGCUGAGGUGCGAAAGUGUGGGGAGCGAACAGG
rnacentral:rRNA from 1 species